rnacentral:rRNA from 1 species
GAUGAACGCUAGCUACAGGCUUAACACAUGCAAGUCGAGGGGCAGCAUGGUCUUAGCUCGCUAAGGCCGAUGGCGACCGGCGCACGGGCGAGUAACGCGUAUCCAACCUGCCUUACACUCUUGGACAGCCUUCUGAAAGGGAGAUUAAUACAAGAUGUUAUCAUGAGUAAGCAUUUUCGCAUGAUUAAAGGUUUACCGGUGUAAGAUGGGGAUGCGUUCCAUUAGAUAGUAGGCGGGGUAACGGCCCACCUAGUCUUCGAUGGAUAGGGGUUCUGAGAGGAAGGUCCCCCACAUUGGAACUGAGACACGGUCCAAACUCCUACGGGAGGCAGCAGUGAGGAAUAUUGGUCAAUGGACGAGAGUCUGAACCAGCCAAGUAGCGUGAAGGAUGAAGGUUCUAUGGAUUGUAAACUUCUUUUAUACGGGAAUAAACGGAUCCACGUGUGGAUUUUUGCAUGUACCGUAUGAAUAAGGAUCGGCUAACUCCGUGCCAGCAGCCGCGGUAAUACGGAGGAUCCGAGCGUUAUCCGGAUUUAUUGGGUUUAAAGGGAGCGUAGAUGGGUUGUUAAGUCAGUUGUGAAAGUUUGCGGCUCAACCGUAAAAUUGCAAUUGAUACUGGCAGUCUUGAGUACAGUUGAGGUAGGCGGAAUUCGUGGUGUAGCGGUGAAAUGCUUAGAUAUCACGAAGAACUCCGAUUGCGAAGGCAGCUUACUAACCUGUAACUGACAUUGAUGCUCGAAAGUGUGGGUAUCAAACAGGAUUAGAUACCCUGGUAGUCCACACGGUAAACGAUGAAUACUCGCUGUAGGCGAUAUACAGUCUGCGGCCAAGCGAAAGCAUUAAGUAUUCCACCUGGGGAGUACGCCGGCAACGGUGAAACUCAAAGGAAUUGACGGGGGCCCGCACAAGCGGAGGAACAUGUGGUUUAAUUCGAUGAUACGCGAGGAACCUUACCCGGGCUUAAAUUGCAACCGAAUAUGGCGGAAACGCUAUAGCUAGCAAUAGCGGUUGUGAAGGUGCUGCAUGGUUGUCGUCAGCUCGUGCCGUGAGGUGUCGGCUUAAGUGCCAUAACGAGCGCAACCCUUGCCGAUAGUUACUAACAGGUUAUGCUGAGGACUCUGUCGGGACUGCCAUCGUAAGAUGUGAGGAAGGUGGGGAUGACGUCAAAUCAGCACGGCCCUUACGUCCGGGGCUACACACGUGUUACAAUGGGGGGUACAGAGGGCUGCUACCACGCAAGUGGAUGCCAAUCCCAAAAACCUCUCUCAGUUCGGAUUGAAGUCUGCAACCCGACUUCAUGAAGCUGGAUUCGCUAGUAAUCGCGCAUCAGCCACGGCGCGGUGAAUACGUUCCCGGGCCU